rnacentral:rRNA from 1 species
AGCGAACGCUGGCGGCAGGCCUAACACAUGCAAGUCGAACGGAUCCUUCGGGAUUAGUGGCGGACGGGUGAGUAACACGUGGGAACGUGCCCUUUGGUUCGGAACAACUCAGGGAAACUUGAGCUAAUACCGGAUGUGCCCUUCGGGGGAAAGAUUUAUCGCCAUUGGAGCGGCCCGCGUCUGAUUAGCUAGUUGGUGAGGUAAAGGCUCACCAAGGCGACGAUCAGUAGCUGGUCUGCGAGGAUGAUCAGCCACAUUGGGACUGGGACACGGCCCAAACUCCUACGGGAGGCAGCAGUGGGGAAUCUUGCGCAAUGGGCGAAAGCCUGACGCAGCCAUGCCGCGUGAAUGAUGAAGGUCUUAGGAUUGUAAAAUUCUUUCACCGGGGACGAUAAUGACGGUACCCGGAGAAGAAGCCCCGGCUAACUUCGUGCCAGCCGCCGCGGUAACAC